UGGAGGAAUGAUGGAGUAUACAUAGUGAUAUAGUGGAAGAAAACAAAAGGGAAUGAAUAAAAUAUGAGGAAUGAUGGAGGCGCUAUGAAGAUGAUGGAGAAAUAAUGGAGGAAUAAUGGAGGUGCUUCUACAGAUUUGAAGAGGAAAUGAAGAAAUAGAGAUGCUUUGUUUAUAUGGAGGAAAACAAAGCCCUUGUGAAGAUGUCCGCUAUGAUAAAAGCAGACUGCGGAAGAUUAGGAAGAGAAGAGAAGUUUUNNNNNNNNNNNNNNNNNNNNNNNNNNNNNNNNNNNNNNNNNNNNNNNNNNNNNNNNNNNNNNNNNNNNNNNNNNNNNNNNNNNNNNNNNNNNNNNNNNNNNNNNNNNNNNNNNNNNNNNNNNNNNNNNNNNNNNNNNNNNNNNNNNNNNNNNNNNNNNNNNNNNNNNNNNNNNNNNNNNNNNNNNNNNNNNNNNNNNNNNNNNNNNNNNNNNNNNNNNNNNNNNNNNNNNNNNNNNNNNNNNNNNNNNNNNNNNNNNNNNNNNNNNNNNNNNNNNNNNNNNNNNNNNNNNNNNNNNNNNNNNNNNNNNNNNNNNNNNNNNNNNNNNNNNNNNNNNNNNNNNNNNNNNNNNNNNNNNNNNNNNNNNNNNNNNNNNNNNNNNNNNNNNNNNNNNNNNNNNNNNNNNNNNNNNNNNNNNNNNNNNNNNNNNNNNNNNNNNNNNNNNNNNNNNNNNNNNNNNNNNNNNNNNNNNNNNNNNNNNNNNNNNNNNNNNNNNNNNNNNNNNNNNNNNNNNNNNNNNNNNNNNNNNNNNNNNNNNNNNNNNNNNNNNNNNNNNNNNNNNNNNNNNNNNNNNNNNNNNNNNNNNNNNNNNNNNNNNNNNNNNNNNNNNNNNNNNNNNNNNNNNNNNNNNNNNNNNNNNNNNNNNNNNNNNNNNNNNNNNNNNNNNNNNNNNNNNNNNNNNNNNNNNNNNNNNNNNNNNNNNNNNNNNNNNNNNNNNNNNNNNNNNNNNNNNNNNNNNNNNNNNNNNNNNNNNNNNNNNNNNNNNNNNNNNNNNNNNNNNNNNNNNNNNNNNNNNNNNNNNNNNNNNNNNNNNNNNNNNNNNNNNNNGAUCAUGAAGAGGAACUCUACCACUUAAGACUCGAAAUUCCUCUCGGCCUACCUCUCUACGCUCGUUCUCCCCUUGGACGAAGGCCUUCCCCUUUAUUUAUAGAUGAGGAAAGGAACUAUGCGGACUUCAAUCAAUUUGGAGUCUAGCGGACUUCAUCUGGUUUGAAAUUUGAAAGUUUGUAGAAGUCGGAACUGAAGUCGGGACUUAAUAAAUUUUAUGUCUAAUUUUUUGUAGCAUCUUGUUGUUUUUGUACAAUAUCAGAAAUCUUCCUAUAGAUAAACAGUAGUGAUGUCAGGAAUCUUCCUAUAGCUUACUUGUCAUCGUUAGAUCCUGGUGUAGACCAACUUUUGAAGAUGAACUGUCUCUGAGAAUUAAACCAGCUUCAAGAAUAGUAGUAGUAGUUCAUUUUGUCUUUAGAAGAUAGUGGUAGUCAUCUGGUUGUAGAAAUGGCUAAUAGAAGAGCCACAAAGUGUACCUAUAAGAAAUUUUUUCUACCAAAAAUUUUGGUAUAAGGGUUAGUAAAAAAUAUUUUUCUUUUUUCUUCUUUUCUUCUUUCUUUCUCACUCUCUCUCUUUUUUUUUACAGAACUUAACCAUUUAGAGUGAGUUGGUUGAGUACUAGAGAAAAUUCUCUUACUCAACUUUCUAAGCUUUUUAGGCCAUAAUAUAGAUCGAUGUCUAUCUGUCUGCAAUUGUUUCCAAAGUCUUCUUUAAUUUUUAGGCAUGAUAUAACACUUUCUUUAAAUAGUUUAUGGCUUCGAAUUCUUUUAGGAUAAUUUUUUAAGUUGAGAAGAGUACACCAUUCUGGAUAUGAAUUUUCUCUGCAUGGAAGAUCUUAGGGGUCUUCUUGAAUUGGUAUUCUAAUUGAAAGAUUGGUAGUCAUCCAAAUUCACCCAUCAGUCCAGCAUUUUUGUUGUUGCAGUUUUUUGGUUGCCCAAUAGACUUCUAAAUAUGAUAUUACUUCAUAAGUUUUGAGAUCAAAGUCUUUAACAGAUGGAUCAAAGUCUCCGACAGAUUUCCCCUUUUCUUUUGUUAUUUUUGGUCGAAAUUCUACUUGAUUAUCCGCAUCCUCAAGAGUAGUGAUAUUGUAGAUUUGAAAGGGAUGCUCAAUAUCUCCUAUCUUCUUUCCUUCUAUACCACUGUAUAUUUUUACUUCAAGAUAUUCUUGAUUUUUUCUCACAUCUCUUAGUAUAGUGGCAAUAAUAGAAGCAAACAUGUCAUAUGGCAUGGCACAGUCUAUUGAGAUUAACUUCACAAGCACUUUAUAUAAAGCUCUGAUUUCUUCUGGUCUAGUCAGUAUAUUGAUCAAAGGUAGAAAGAGCUUGGGAUAGGUCCAAUUGUCUUAAAAGAACUAUACAUCUUCAAAGAGCUUUUUUGAUUCAUCAGGCUGAGUUGCUUUUUUAUAGAUAUCUUCUUAGAGUUUUAAAUUUAAAACUUCUUGUGUCUUUUUUCAAUAAUCAAGUCUUUUGAGCUUAAUCAUUAUUGGCAUCUCUGGUAUUUCACAGAGAUUAUAGAGAGAGAUAAGUUCAGAGGUAGGUUGUAUUACCUGUCUUCCAACUAUGUAAAUAUAUUCUUUGAUAGCUUUCAGAGAACAUUUUUUUUCUGCUAAGUAGUUGAUUAGACUAAUUAUAUGGUGAAGAAAUUCUUUUUCAGAUUGGAAUAGAUGAGCAUCCCAUGCUUUAUAAAUUAUAAAAUAUGUUUCUUUGGGAAGAUCAAAAUGGAAGGAUUUCAUAGCUUUUAGAUCUUUACUUAGUUCAUUAUAUAAAGGGGCUUUUCCCUUUUUCUUCUUCUUUGAGUCUCUGAAAAAUAAAGAUGCAAGUAUAUCAAAAGAAUUAAGGACUAACUCUAGAGAAAUUUUUUAUCUUUUGGUGGUGAUGGCAUCCUUGAUCCUAUAAUUCAAAAGAAUUUAUAAAAUGAUUAGAUAGCAGGUUUAUGAUAACAGUUCAAAGGAUUCUUCUAAUUCUGGAUGGACAUCAUAAUAGAAUUCUACUCCUAGUAUUUAAAGAUAGUUUUAGAAUCAAUCUAGGGUUUUGUUUAAGAUUUUAUAAAACCAAUUAUAUUUUACUCAUUUUUCUAUUGGUCUUAUAAGAUUUUUCUUACCAUUUCUUUAAGUUUUUCCUAUAAAUAGGAGAUUUUAUUAUUGCAAAACUUACUUACCAAUUCAAGUUUACCUUAUAUAAGAAAUAGUUGUUUUUAGUUAGGGACCUGCAUAUGUAUGGCUUAGGUAGAGACUUUAUCUUGUUUAAGAAAGCCUUAAUCUCUUAAGGUUAUAGAUAAAAUCUCUCAAUCUAAUUCUAUUGAUCUUUUAGAGUUUUCAGAGUAUCGAUUAAAUCAGCCAUUAUUGAAUUUCUUCCUAAAUCUAUCACUCUCACUAAGGGUUAGAUAUUUUCUUAUAUAUUUAUAGUAUUAUUUAUUAGCAAUCUAGCAGUCUAGUGGUACUUAUUGUAUAGUCUCGAAAGAUUUUUUUUUUUUUUUUGGAGAUCUUUUGAGCUCUUCUAUCAAACUUUCUCUUGGAUUUUUUAUGUUUCUUUAUAUAUGAUUUAUCUAGUUGAAAUCCAAAUUGAUAACAGAAGUCUGUUGAAAUAUAGAGAUCAUUUAUCUUUUCUUUACUAAAUUGAUCUUCGAUCUUUAGCUUGUUAUUCAAUUUAGAUUCAUCAUAAAUAAUUACUCUAUUUAAUUUACUAAUAUUGCCUAUGUAAUCUAAUCUAAUUUUAUUCUUUUCUAAAAGUAAAAAAAAUAUUUUUAAAUUAACUUUUACCCCUAGAAGUGGUACUAAUAGAGUAAUAUUCUAACACUAGAGGAGACAAUUCUAAGAAAAAACUUAAUAUAGCAGAGUAAGUAUCUCUGUACCAUCUAAACUCAACUAAACAACUACUCCAAAGACUACUUAAUUGAUUAUUAAUAUCUACAUAAAGUUUAGUGUUCAAAGGAUAAUCUAAAAGGUUGUUGUCUUUAGAGUUCUUCUAAAUGGUAUUCAUAAUUUAUGAGUUAGUGGAAAGAAUUUUUCACCAACCUUUCAAUUAUUUUAACAAGUAAUUUACCAUUGUCUUAGCAAUUGAAAUUUGUGAAUAAUCAUAGAUUUUAUAGGCUAUCAAAUGUAUCUUUGUCCGUUGAUGACAAUUGUUAACCAUUUGAUAUUUAGUAAGUCCAUCAGGGUUCCAACCAAGAGUUCUUCUCUUGAAAUGGAUAGUGGAUAAGUUGUCAGAGAUUUCUGUCAAUUGUGAAUCCACUAAGGUCGAUCUAAGAUAAUAAUUUAUUAUCCUAGGGACUUAAACUACAAGUUUAUAGUUAGAAAUUGGUUUAUCUUCAAUGCUUUUCGGGAUAAAUAAUUUACUAACUAUAUUUUUUCUACUAACUAUUCUCUUAUCCUCAGAGUUUUCUAAGAUUAAGAUAUUGCUAAUUCUUAAAAAAAUUGUUAAUUUCUUUAUCCUUAGAGAAAUAUGAGGUUUCAUGAAUUUCUUUAGAUAAAGAAAUUAAACUAGAUCUACUAAAUGAGGAUGAUAGGUUUAAGAUAGGCUGGUUCAAAGAUUUGAAUUCAGAUAAAGAGUCUGGCCUAGUCUUCAAAUCAUAUGUAGAAGCACAUAGAUCAAAUGUCCAAGCAGUUUUUUCAAGAAUUUCAUAAGAAGGAAUUCUAUUAAAUUGAUUCAGUAUAAUUUUAUCUAAUUCUUCUAUGAAUUUCUUUUUUGAUUGUAUUUUAGAGAGGUCAGGUAUUAGACGUAUCUCAGUUAGAUCUAGAUGAUCUUCCACAAUUAUUUCUUCAAUGAUUUCAUCAUGAUUUUUGAUUGAUAUCUUCAAAUAACUGAUGCAUGAACAUGACUCAGAGGAUUCUAGUAAAGAUAUAGAGUUUAGAUUGACUUCAGUAUCAAUAAUUAAUUCAGUAUCAAUAUCGAAAUUAUGAAUAGUCUCAAUGAUUUCAUCAGAAGGAUUUUCUUCAAUCAAAAUUUUAUUAGAUUCUUUAAAUGAAUCAUUUUCAGUUUUAACUUCUAAGAGAUUGGGUAUAGUAUCGAUCUUUAUGGAAAAGUCAUCAAUCCUUAAUAAUGAAUUAUCAGAAUUAUCCCGAUCAACUUUAGAUUCUCUUAAAAGGCUAUCAAUCUGAGUUUCUUUAGAGUUGAGAGAAUAAUCCAUAUAGUUUUGUUUUUCCUCAACCUGAUCUAGAUGUCUAGAGAUUUUAUCAAUGAGUUUCUACUUUGGGGAUUUGAUCAAGAUUAUUUGUAGAAAUCUCAAUUGGAGUCGUAUUCUUCUUAUUUUGAACCUGAGUAGGUUCAGCUUUAAAGCUUCUAUGACAUUUCCAUGAUUCAGCCAUCCUAUUAAUCACAGUUUUUUGUAUUCUAGGACUAACUUCCUCAAGGCUAUUGAUAUAACACUUGUCAAACUAGUCAAAAAAAAAAUGUCUCUCUUUAGUCUUCAUCUAACUAAACCAUUUUUCUCUUAUAAAAUCUCUUUCCCUUUUAUUGUAAGUAUCAAAGAACCACUCUUUUCUAUCUUUAUUUUUAUCAAAAUCAAAAUCUUCUCUUAAUAGUUCUUUGUUUAUAGGGAAUUCAGCUAUUUCUAUAAUUUUAGAGUCAAUAUAAGAGCCAUAUGGAGUAUUUAAAACUAAUCUAACUCAUNNNNNNNNNNNNNNNNNNNNNNNNNNNNNNNNNNNNNNNNNNNNNNNNNNNNNNNNNNNNNNNNNNNNNNNNNNNNNNNNNNNNNNNNNNNNNNNNNNNNNNNNNNNNNNNNNNNNNNNNNNNNNNNNNNNNNNNNNNNNNNNNNNNNNNNNNNNNNNNNNNNNNNNNNNNNNNNNNNNNNNNNNNNNNNNNNNNNNNNNNNNNNNNNNNNNNNNNNNNNNNNNNNNNNNNNNNNNNNNNNNNNNNNNNNNNNNNNNNNNNNNNNNNNNNNNNNNNNNNNNNNNNNNNNNNNNNNNNNNNNNNNNNNNNNNNNNNNNNNNNNNNNNNNNNNNNNNNNNNNNNNNNNNNNNNNNNNNNNNNNNNNNNNNNNNNUCCGGCAAGACCCUCUGACGCUCAAGUCAGUACUCUGCUUCAACAGAAAUGGAGUGCUCGAAUAAAAAUUUUAGCAGAGUUUCGAGAUAGAGUUUAGAGCUUAGAGAAGAACAUAUCUGGGGGUCCCUUUUUAUAGAUGGAGAGCGUAACUGAUUGACAGAGAUGUCUGUAACCACCUGGUAGUGGGCCGUUCAGGAUCACGUGGAGUUUGUUACGGAGAAUAGUGGCAUCAGGGGCCAUUUAGGGCCACGUAGAGUUUGUUACGGAGAGUAGUGGCGUCAGGGGUCGUUCAAGGCCACGUGGAGUUUGUUACGGAGAGUGGAGUGGUGUCCAUUGUCGUGACUUGCCAGAGAAUGGUGAAGCCAUGUGGAAUCCAUUACAGAGUGUGGAGUAGGGUAGUGGCCAUUAUCGUGACUUGCCAGAGAGUUCAGAUCUGUCGGCUGAAGCUCGACUGGGAUGUCUGAUGGAGCGAAAUGGCUCUCUGUCUCAUCAAUCCAGGAGAAGCUCGGAUGUUUUCGAGAUUGCUGACGGGUCUACUAUUGUCGGGUGCCUAGAGCACUGAUGCUGCAGGUGGGAACCAUCUGUUGUAGAAGCUCGGACGGGGACUUUCUGUUGGAAAAAUCUAGUUUUAUGAGGAAUCUGGCAAAGGGUCGACCGACAGUGGACUUCGGAUGGCGUUGGGGAGGUUCGUCUGCUGGAGGAGUUUGGAGGAUCCUGUGGAAGUCCGGUUGGCAUUAUUGAAGUCCGACUGACACUAUUGAGGGUUGAUGGAUGGGGAGGUACGGCAGACACCGAAGGUAGUCAGCCGUUGUAGAAAUCUAGCUGCUAGAGCCCAUCUGUUGUAGAAGUUCAUCCAGAAUCCAUCUGCUAUGGAAGUUCAGGCAGAGUCUGGUUCUUGUAAAAGUUCGAAUGGGGAUCGCUUAUUGAAGAAGCUCGACUGAAGUUCGCUUGUAACAAGAGUUUGGAAGGAAUUCAUUUACAGUAGAAGCUCGGAUGAAAUUCGCUUACAGUAGAGAUCCGGAGUAGACCGCUCAUAGUAGAAGUUCGGAGUAGACUGCUUGUAGUAGAGGUUCGGAGUAGAGAUCCUGCUGGUGGAGGCUGUUCAUCGUAAAAGCUCGUUUGUGAUCCACCCACUGUAGAAGUUCGGAUGGAGCCCGACCCUAAUAGGAGUUUGGAUGAAGUCCACCUGCAAUAGAAAUUCGGGGUAGAGGUCCGGCUCUCGCGGGAGCUCGGGUAAAAUUCAGAAGGCGGUCAACCACCAUAGAAAUUUGGAUGGAGUCUGGUUACUGUAGAAGUCCUGCUGUUGGGGAAGCUCGGCCAUUGAUGAAGUCCAGAGGAAGUUCGGAGUAGAGUCGAUCGUGGCUGGAAGAAGUCUAGAAGAGAUUCGGAGAAUAGUCGAUCACUGUAGAAAAUCGGCUAAUAUUGAAGCCCAAAGAGCAUUUGGAGCAACCCGGUACGUGAAUGGAGGAGCUCAUUAUCGGAGAAGUCCGGAUGGUAAUAUGGAAGCUCGGACGGUCGAGGGAGUUUAGAAAGAUGCCACACAAGGUCGAAAAUCGAAAAAGCCCUGGAAGGGUCGGCCGUUUACCAACUUUGGCUAGGGUUAUUUUACACCCAACAGGUUCUAUACUAUAAUCUUUUGUACUAUUUUCUAUUUCUCUCAUAGUUAUCAAAUAUUUAUUUGAAGACCUAUCUUAUAAACAGGUAGGUUUCUGAAGCCUAGUAUCUUUCAGGUUUGAAGGAGAGGUUUUUCUUAUCUUAAAAGGUGAAAUUUUCCUCGACUUGAAGAGUUUCUUUAUCCCAAGAUCUUUAAGUCUAAGUCUUGUUCUUUCAAGAUCCUAAGGAUAAUAAUUUAAGGACUGUUCUUCAAUUUCUUCAUCAGAUUCUUCAAGUACUUCUUGAGAAAGUAUUUCUCUAUUAAUUUUUUCUGGAUAGAAUUCAUCUUCUUCUAUUUCUUCAGGGUAGAUGGAUUCUAUAUCAUCUUAUAGCUUAUCUUGAUUUCAAUCCUCAACAUCAAAGGCUUCAAUAUCUUCAUCUAUUUUUAAUAUAUUGAGAGAAUCAGCUACCUAUUAUCUAAACGUAUGCUAAAUAUAUUUUUAUCUUAACUAAUCUAGUUAUUCAUAAAUCUAUUUCUAUGUUACCUAAAGAAUCAUAGAAAGUGUUAACUCUAAUUUUUAUUUAAAACUAAAUUUUAUCUUAACUUCCAUAAAAUAUACAUCUAUACUACUAAUUAACUCUUAUAAAAUAUAUAACUAGACUACUAAUUAACUUCUCAAUAGUUACUAGUUUUUAUUCAUUUUACUUAUUAGAAAUAUUUUACAAACAUAGCAGAGUUAUUUUAAGCACAGAUAAGUUACAAAUCAAAAUCAGUUGGAUUUCUUACCCAUUACAGAUUUCAGAGGUUUGAUAAGAGAUCUAGGAAUACCAGCCAUAGGGACGACACCAAUGGCCAAUUGUGACUUACCAUCCUAAACACUUUUCCUCAUGGCUAACAUGAGAUUUACCAUGCUACCUAUCUGGUCUGCUCUAUGUGGCUAAGAAUCGAUAGAUCCCCUCUUUGGCACGAAAGAUGGCUCUAAUACUAGAUUGAUCUGGGCCAAUGUGCAUAUGCAUGGAAGUAGCAAUGUUGUGUGUGUGUGAGUGGAUCAAAACCAUAGAGGUAUGAUAAUUCGCAAGUCCUAAUGGACUCUCCCGAUGCAGAUCAAAAACCUUGAUAACCACAAGGCAGAAGUAUCAUAAUAUCCAGCAGUAAAUUAUCACAGCAGUGUGAUACAGUAGUAAAAAGCUAUGUGCAUACAUGUAGAAGCAGCAAAUGGGUAGGCUACGUGCGUACAUGUCGAAGCAGUAAAUAGAUAGAUGAAUUAUAAGGUAUACAAUACUGCCCACAUGCAUCGUAUAACUAACAGUCCAGAACCCAAGAGUAGAAGCAAAAUGAUUAUGAUUGAGGAGUAAAUGAAGUCAAACCUUAAGAUAAUGCCUAAACAGACACAAAGGUAGAAAAUUAAUAGAUAGACAUACGAAAUGGAGAUGAAGGACAGACUCAGAUAUGACGAACAGACUGAAGAAAGUCUAAGGACAGACUAAAAAAAGUCUAAAGACAAACUAAGUACAUAAGAUAAAAUCUAAACUAAGACACAGGCUACUGGAAGGUUAAGGCAAACUAAAGCGCAAACUAAGCUAAUAUAAGAAAUUGUUAACUAAAACAUAAAUGGACGGAAAGCUAAUAAGAGAGCACAAACUAAGGUAUAAGCUAAUAACUGAAUGUAAACUAGAGACUAUAGGUUCAUGAAUUAAAUUUUCUAAUAACUAAGACUAUCCAAAUUGGAAGUAAACAAACUAAUAUAAGAACAAGAAGAACAAAAAUAAGUGCAAGAAGCAUAAAUUCAAUAAAUAAACUAUAGAGUAAAUUAUACUAUUGAGUAAGCUACUAAGCUAUAACUAUGGCUAAUUAACUUACAUGCUUAAAAGGAUAAAGUAAAACUAACUGCAGUAAAUAAGACUAACAGAACUAACUAUUGUAGUAAAUAAAACUAAACUAAGUAAGAGCAAAACAAACCAAAAUGAAAAAGAAAGAAAUAAAAUUUAACUAAAGAUAAGUAAGCAAAAUAGAAGCAAAGUGGAAUGAACAAGAUAACUAAAACUACUAGAAUAAAAUAAAAUAUAGUACUUAAACAAAGUAGUAAAAUGGAACAAAGUCUAAUAUAAGUACUAUAAGCAGUACUGAAAUAAAAUGCUUGAUAUAAAAUAAAAAUAAAUAAAUAAAAAAUUUGAAUUAAAAUAAAGUAUUUUAACUAAUCAGAUAGCAUAUAAUUGCUUCGUUGUUUACUUCACGAUUGCAUGAUAGAUUGCACUAUAUUUUUAGCAUAACCUUAUAGCAUAUUACAGGUGGUAUUUGGAUUGUUUACUCUGAAUGAUCUAUUGUUUACUUCACAAUCUCUACCAAUCUUAGGGUUGUUUAUCCUUAAGGGACUGAUCUGUUGUUUACUUCACAGUUUCGGUAGCAUUUCGGUUAUUUACCAUCGUGCUACAGUAAUAUUCUAUAGUGCGUAACAGUACUGCACAGUAUUUCUACUAUAGUACUACACAAUGCAUAUGCUACAGUAAUUAGCUACAUUAAUGAAUAGUAAUAUAAACAAACUUAAGUAUAAAGGAAGCUUAAAACAUAAACAGUAAAAUGAAAGAAAAAUAAACUUUAUUUACAAAAGCACACUUACAUGAAGUCUGAUGAAAUUGAAAUACACACCUUACAAGCUUUAUGUAUACUAAUCAAGCUUAAACAAACUUAAAUACAAGUCACAAGCACUAAUAUAUGCUAAUAUAUGAGUAAACAAACCAAUAAGCACACUUAUGUAUUAAACUCACAUGGAUUAAUGGAGCUAAGUGACAAAGCUUUCUGAGAAUGGAACUGUGGAAGAAAGAGGAAUGGAAUAUUUUAAUGUGGAAAUGGAAAGAAAGAUGGAAGGAAUGAUUUGUUUAAUGGAGGAAUAGUGGAGUGUAAGGAUUAUUAUAAUGGGAAUAAUAGAGGAAUGAUGGAGUAUACGUAGUGAUAUGGUGGAAAAAACAAAAGGGAAUGAAUAAAAUAUAAGGAAUGAUGGAGGCUCUCUGAAGAUGAUGGAGAAAUAAUGGAGGAAUAAUGGAGGUGCUUCUGCAGAUGUGAAGAAGAAAUGAAGAAAGAGAUGCUUUGUUUAUACGGAAGAAAACAAAGCCCUUGUGAAGAUGUCUGCUAUGAUGAAGGCAGAUUGCGGAAGAUUAGGAAGAGAAGAGAGAUUUUUAUGGAAGAAGAUGAAAGGAUUAGGAGAAGGAGACAAGGGAAGAGAAGAGAAGAGAAGAGAAGGGAAAAAGGAGAUCAUAAAGAGGAACUCUGCCACUUAAGAUCCAAAAUCUCUCUCAACCUGCCUCUCCGUGCUCGGUCUCCCCUCAGAACGAAGGCUUCCUUCGUUAUUUAUAGAUGGGAAAAAGAACUAUGCGGACUUCAGUCAGUUUGGAAUUCGACAGACUUUAAUUGAUUUGGAAUCUGGAAGCUUGUAGAAGUUGGAACCGAAGUCGGAACUUAAUUGAUUUUGAGUCUAAUUUCUUAUAGCAUCUUAUUUUUUCUAUACAGUGUUAGGAAUCUUCCUGUAGAUAAACAGUAGUGAUAUCAAAAAAUUUUUCGUAGCUUGCUUGUUGUCUUUAGAUCCUGGCAUUGAUCAAUUUUUGAAGAUAAACCAUCUCUGAGAAUUAAACCAGCUUUGAGAAUAGUAGUAGUGGUUGUCUCCAAAAAAUAGUGGUAAUCGUCUACUUGUAAAAGUAGUUAAUAGAAUAGCCACUGGAUAGUACCUGCAAAGAAAAUUUUUUUACCAAAAAGUUGAUAGAAAGGUUAGUAAAAUAUUGUUUUUUUUUUACAAAGCUCAUCCUUUCAGAAUGAAUUGGUAGAGUAUUAGAGAAAAUUAUCUUGCUCAACUUUUUGGGCCAUAAUAUUGGUGAAUGUCUAUUUGUUUGCAGUCAUAUCCAAAUUCUUCUUCAAUCUUUAAGCAUGAUAUAACUCCUUUAAAUAAUUUUUGGCUUCCAAUUUUUUUAGGAUAAUUUUCUAAGUUGAGAAGAGUACUCCAUUCUAGAUAUAAAUUUUCUCUGCAUAGAAGAUCUUGAGGAUCCUUUUGAAUUGGUAUUCCUAUUGGAAGAUUGGUAGUUACCCAAAUUCAUCCAUCAGUCCAACAUUUUGUUGUUGUAGUUUUUGAGCUACCCAAUAGACUUCUAAGUAUGAUAUUACUUCAUAAAUUUUGAGAUUAAAUUCUUCGAUAGAUGGAUCAAAGUCUUUGGCAGAUUUUUCUUUUUCUUUUGUUAUUCUUGGCUGAAAUCUUACUUGAUUAUCCACAUCCUCAAGAGUAGUGAUAUUAUAGAUUUGAAAAGGAUACUCAAUGCUUCCUAUCCUCUUAUCUUCUAUAUCACUAUAUAUUUUUACUUUAAGAUAUUCUCGAUUUUUUCCCACAUCUCUUAAUAUGAUGGCAACAAUAAAAGAAAAUAUAUCAUAUAGCAUGGCACAGUCUAUUGAGAUCAGCUUCAUCAAUUCUUUAUAUAAAGCUCUUACAUCUUCUGGUCUAGUUAGUAUAUUGAUCAAAGAUAGAAAGAGCUUAGGAUAAGUCCAAUUGUCGAAAAACAACUAUACAUCUUCAAGGAGCUUCUUUGAUUCAUCAGGCAGGGUUGCUUUUUGAUAGAUAUCUUCUUAGAGUUCUGAAUCUAGAACUUCUUGUGCCUUUUUUCAGUAAUCAAGUCUUUUGAACCUAAUCAUUGUUGGCAUCUCUGGUAUUUCACAGAGAUUAUAGAGAGAAAUAAGUUCAGAGGUAGGUUGUGUUACCUAUCUUCCAACCUUACAAAUAUAUUCUUUGAUAGCUUUUAAUGAAUGUUCCUUUUCUGCCAAGUGAUUGAUUAGACUGGUCAUUUGGUGGAGAAACUCUUUUCUCAGGUUGGAAUAGAUGAGCAUCCCAUGCUUUAUAAAUUAUAGAGCAUGUUUCUUGGGAAAGAACAGAAUGAAAGGAUUCUACAGCUUUUAGAUCUUUACUCAGUUCUUCAUAUAAAGGAGCUUUUUUCUUUUUUUUUCUUUUUGAAUCUCUGGGAAAAUAAAAAUGUGAGUAUCUCAAAAGAAUUAAGGAUUAAUUCUAGAGUUCUUUUAAGAGAAGUUCCUUAUCUUGAUGGUAUCCUUGUUUCUGUAAUUUAGAAAUAGUUUAAAAGAUUCUUUUGAUUUUGGGCAAAAUUAUAAUAAAAUUCUACUUCUAGGAUUUAAAGAUUAUAAUGUCAGCUUUAGAAGUAAUUCAUUUAUAAAUUCAAGUUUUCUUUGUAUGAGAAGUUACCUCAAAUAAUCAUUUUUUGACUAAUGAUCUAAAUCUUAUGGCUUAGAUAGAGACUGACUUUAUCUUGUUCUGAGAAAGUUUUAGGAUUUUAAGGUUAUAGAUAAAAUUCCUCAAUCUAAUUUUAUUGAUCUUCUACAGUUUUUAGAGAAGUGAUUAAAUCAGCCAUUAUUGGAUUUCUUUUCAAAUCUAUCUAUAUUAUUAAGGGUUAGAUAUUUUUUUAUAUAUUUAUAGUAUUAUUUGUUAGUAGUCUAGCAGUCUAGUGGUACUUAUUUUAUAGUUUCAAAAGAUUUUUGUUUUUCUUUUUGGAGAUCUUUCGAGCUUUUCUAUCAAACUUCCUCUUAGAUUUUUUAUGUUUCUUUAUAUAUGAUUUAUCUAGUUCAAAUCCUAAUUGAUAACAGAAGUCUUCUAAAUUAUAGAGAUCAUUUAUCUUUUCUUUACUAGGUAUAUUUUUAAUUUGAUCUCUUAUCCUUAAGUUGUUAUUUAAUUCAGAUUUAUCAAUCAAAAAUAUUUUAUUUAUUUUACUAAUAUUAUCUAUAUAUUUUAAUCUAAUUUUAUCUUUCAUUAAGAAUAAAAAAGCUAUUCUUAAAUUAUCUUCUAGACCUAGAGAUAACAAUUUCAAAAAAAAUCCUAAUGAUAAUAAGUUUAAAGAAAAUUCUAAUACAAUAAAGUAAGUAUCCCUAUACCAUUUAAACUUAAUUAAACUAUUAUUCCUAAGACCACUACUACUUAAUUGAUUAUAAAAUUUUUCGACAGAGUUCAGAGGAUAAUCUAAAGGAUAGUGAUUUUUAGAGUUCUUUUGAACAAUAUUUACAAUUUAUGAGUUAGUGGAAGGGGUUUUCCACCAAUCUUUCAAUUGCCUUAACAAAUAAUUUACCAUUGUCUUAGCAAUUAGAAUUUGUGAAUAAGCAUGGAUCUUACAGGCUUUCAAACAUGUCGUUGUCAGAUGAUGAUAAUAAUUUGUAAGUCCAUCAGGCUUCCAACCAAGAGUUCUUCUCUUGGAUUGGAUAGUGGAUAAGUUGUCAAAGGCUAUUGUCAAUUGUAAAUCCACUAAGGUCGAUCUAAGAUAAUGAUUUAUUAUCCUAGGGACCUGAACUACAAGUUUGUAGCUAGAAAUUGAUUUAUCUUCAGUGUUUUUUGAGAUAAAUGAUUUACUAACUAUUCUCUUAUUCUCAAGGUUUUCUGAGACUAAGAGAUCACUAAUUCCUAAAGAACUACUAGUUCCUUUAUCCUUAGAAAAAUAUAAGAUUUCAUGAAUUUCUUCAGAUAAAGAAAUUAAACUAGACCUACUAAAUGAGGAUGAUGAAUUUAAGAUAGGUUGGUUCAAAGAUUUGAAUUUAGAUAAAAAGUCUGGCCUGAUCUUCAAAUCACAUAGAUCAAAUGUAGAAGCAAUUUCCUCAAGAGUUUCAUAAGAAGGAAUUCUAUUAAAUUGAUUCACUAUAAUUUUAUCUAAUUCAUCUAAGAAUUUCCUUUCAGAUUGUACUUCUGAAAGGUCAGGUGUUGGAGGUACCUCAAUUAGAUCCAGAUGAUCUUUCUCACUAGUUUUUGUAUGAUUUUUGAUUGAUGCCUUCAACUAACUGAUGCCUGGACUUGACUCAGAAGAUUUAAGUAAAGAUAUAAAAUUCAGAUUAGCUUCAAUAAUCAAUUCAGUAUCAAUAUCGAAACUAUGAACAGUCUCAAUGAUUUCAUCAGAAGAAAUUUCUUCAAACAAAAUUUUAUCAGAUUCUUCGGAUGAAUCAUUUUUAGUUUUAACUUCUAAGAGAUUGGGUACAGUAUCGAUUUUUAUAGAAAAAUCAUCAAUCUUUACUAAUGAAUUAUCAGAAUGAUCCUGAUCAACUUCAGAUUCUCUUUUAAGGCUAUCAGUCUGAAUUUUUUUAGGAUUGAGAGAAUGAUUCAUACAGUUUUAUUGUUUCUUGACCUGAUUUAGAUGUCCAAAGAUUUUAUCAGAAUAAAUUUUUACAUUAGGGAUUUGAUCAAGAUCAUUGGUAGAAGCCUUAAGUUUACUCGUAUUCUUUUUCUUUUGAACCUGAGUUGCCUUGUAAGCAGGUUCAUCCUUAAAGCUUUUACAAUAUUCCCAAGAUUCAAACAUCGUUCUAAUAACAGUUUCUUGAAUUCUAGGACUAGUUUCUUCAAGGCCUUGGAUAUAAUAUUGGUCAAGCCAGUCAAAAAAAAUAUAUAUCUCUCUUCAGUCUUCAUCUGACUAAACCAUAUUUCUCUUAUAAAAUCUCUUUUUCUUUUAUUGUAAGUAUCAAAGAACCACUCUUUUCUAUCUUUAUUUUUAUCAAAAUCAAAAUCUUCUCUUAGUGGUUCUUUGUUUAUAGGGAAUUCAGCUAUUUCUAUAAUUUUAAAGUCAAUAUAAGAGCCAUAUGGAGUAUCUAAAACUAAUCUAGCUAAUUUUUUUAUUUUAAUUUUUAGUUUUUCAUCUAAAUAUGAAAUAUCUAUAGUAAGUUCUAUACUAUAAUCUUUUGUACUAUUUUCUAUUUCUCUCAUAGUUAUCAAAUAUUUAUUUGAAGACCUAGCUUGAAAACAGGUAGGUUUCUGAAGCCUAGUAUCUUUCAGGUUAGAAGGUGAGGUUUUUCUUGACUUAGAAGGCGAGGUUUUCCUCAACUUAAAGAGUUUCUUUAUCUCUAGAUCUUUAAGUUUAAGUUUUAUUCUUUCAAGAUCCUUAGGAUAAUAAUUAAAGGACUGUUCUUCAAUUUCUUCAUCAGAUUCUUUAAGUACUUCUUGAGAAAGUAUUUCUCUAUUAAUUUCUUCUGGAUAGAAUUCAUCUUUUUCAACUUUUUCGAAGUAGAUAGAUUCUAUAUCAUCUUGCAACUUAUCUUGAUCCCAGUCCUCAACAUCAAAAACUUCAAUAUCUUCAUCCAUUUUAAUAUAUUGAGAGAAUUAGCUAACUAUUACUCUAUCUAUUAUCCAAAUGUAUACUAAAUAACUUUAACUUAACUAGUCUAUCUAAUUCUAUAUUAACUAAAGAAUUAAACUAAAUUUUAUCUAUAAAAUAUAUAUCUAUACUACUAAUUAAUUCUUAUAGAUAUCUAAACUAUUAAUUAACUCCUCAAUAGUUACUAGAAUUUUAGUCAUUUUGUUUAUUAGAAAUAUUUUAUAACAGAGUUAUUUUUAGAAUCAGUUAAAAUUUUUUACCCAUUUUAGUUUUUAGAGGUUCAACAAGAGAUCUAAGGAUAUCAGCCAUAGGGAUGAUACCAAUAAUUAAUUUGUGACUUACCAUCCUAAAUGCCUUUCCUCACGGCUAACACGAGAUUUAUCAUGCUACUUGUUCGGUCCACCCUAUACAGCCAAAAAUCAACAGAUCCCCUCUCUGUAAUGAAAGAUGGCUCUGAUACUAGAUUGAACCGGGCCAACAUGCAUACGCAUGGAAGCAAUAGUGUUGUAUGUGUGUGAGUGGAUCGGAACCACAGAUGUAUGAUAAUUCACAAGUCCUAACAGACUCUCUUGACACAGAUCAGGAACCUCGAUAACCAUGAGGCAGAAGUACCCCAGUGCCCAGUAGUAUAAUGUCAUAGUAGUGUGACACAAAAGUAAAAGCUACAUGUGUACACAUAGAAGUAGCAAAUGGAUAGGCUACAUGCGUAUACGUAGAAGCAGUAGAUAGAUAGACGAACUAUAAGGUAUACGAUACUACCCGCAUGCACCAUAUAUCUAAUAGCCUGGAACCUAGGAGUAAAAGUAAAAUGAUUUAUAAUUGAGAAGUAAAGGAGGUCAAACCUAUAGAUAAGACCUAAUUAAACAGAUAAUACCUAAAUAGAUACAGGAAACAAGGUAAAAAACUGAUAGAACUCAGGCAUACAGAGUGGAGAUGAAGGAAAGACUAGAGUAGACCUACAAACACUUAGAUACAAAAUGAACAAGUUAACAAAAUAUAAAUCUAAACUAAAGCAUAGGCUAACAAAAAGCUAAGGCAAACUAAAGCACAAACUAAGUUAAUAUAAAAAAUUACAAACUAAAAUAUAAACUAACACAAACUAUGAUAUGGGCUAGUAACAAAAUAUAAACUAAUAACUAAAUGUAAACUAGAGAACAUAAAUUAAUAAACUAUAAACUUUAAUCGAUUAAAAUAAAUUAAACUUCUAAUGACUAAAGCUAUCUAGAGUAUAAGUAAACAAGCUAAUAAAAGAGCAAAGAACAUAAAUACAAUAAAUAAACUACUGAGUAAAUUAUUAAGCUAUGACUAUGAUCGGUUAACAAACUUAAAAGAUAAACUUACUAAAAAUUAAAAAGUAAACUAAACAAUGAAUAACUACAGUAAAUAAGACUAACAGAGCGAAUAAACUAACUGCUGCAAACUAGCUACUACAGUGAAUAAACUAAACUAAGUAAGAGCAGAAAAAACCAAAAUAGAAAAGAAAGAAAUAAAACUUAGACAAGAGCAAAUAAAUAUAAGUGCAGAAAAAUAAAGUGAAAUGGAUAGAACUAAGUUUAACUAAGAACAAAUGAACUUAAAUAAAAUAAAAGAUAAAUAAAACUAACAGAACAAAAUAAAAUACAGUACUUAAAUAAUGGAACAAAGCAUAAAGAAGUAAACAGAGUAUUUUAACUAACCUAUUAGCAUAUAAUCAUUUUAUUAUUUACUUCGCGAUUGCAUGACAAAUUAUACUAUAUUUUUAGUACAAUCUUAUAGCAUAUUAUAAAUAGUAUUUAGAUUGUUUACCCUGAUUGAUCCAUUGUUUACUUCGCAAUCUCUACCAACUUUAGGAUUGUUUACUCUUAAGAGACUGAUCUAUUAUUUACUUCACAGCUUUGGUAGCAUUUUGGUUGUUUACCAUCAUGCUACAGUAACAUACUACAGUGCGUACAGUACUACAUAGUAUUUUUACUACAAUACCGCACAGUACAUAUGCUACAGUAGUUAGCUACAGUAAUGAGUAGUAAUAUAAACAAAUUAAGCAUAAAGAAAGCUUAAAACAUAAAAGGUAAAAUAAAAAAAAUAGAUUUUAUUUACAAAAGUACACUUACAUGAAGUCUGAUGAAAUUGAAAUACACACCUUGCAAGUUUUAUGUACACUAAUCAAGCUUAAAUAAAGUUAAAUAUAAACUACGAGUCCUAAUAUAUGCUAAUACAUGAGUAAACACACCAAUAAGUAUACUUAUGUACAAAAGUCACAUGGAUUAAUAGAGCUAAGUGACAAAGCUUUUUGAGAUAGAACUGUGGAAGAAAGAGGAAUGGAAUAUUUUAAUAUGGAAAUGGAAAGGAAGAUGGAAGGAAUGAUUUGUUUAAUGGAGGAAUACUAGAGUGUAAGGAGUAUUAUAAUGGGAAUAAUAGAGGAAUGAUGGAGUAUAUGUAGUGAUAUGGUGGAAGAAAAUAAAAGGGAAUGAAUAAAAUAUGAAGAAUGAUGGAGGCUCUCUGAAGAUGAUGGAGAAAUAAUGGAGAAAUAAUGGAGGUGCUUCUGUAGAUGUGAAGAAGAAAUGAAGAAAGAGAUGCUUUGUUUAUGUGGAAGAAAACAAAGCCCUCAUGAAGAUGUCUGCUAUGAUGAAGGCAGACUGUGGAAGAUUAGAAAGAGAAGAGAGAUUUUUAUGGAAGAAGAUGAAAGGAUUAAGAGAAGGAGACAAGGGAAGAUAAGAGAAGAGAAGGGAAGAAAGAGAUCAUAAAGAGGAACUCUACCACUUAUGACCCAAAAUCUCUCUCAGCCUGCCUCUCUGCUCUCGGCCUCCCCCUGGAUGAAGGAUUUUUUUGUUAUUUAUAGAUGGAGAAAAGAACUAUGCGGACUUCAGUCAGUUUAAAAUUCGAAAGCUUGUAGAAGUUGAAACUAAAAUCAAAACUUAAUUGAUUUAAAGUCCAAAUUUCUAUAGCAUCUUGUCAUCUUUGUACAGUAUCAGGAAUCUUCCUAUAGAUGAAUAGUGAUGAUGUCAGAAAUCUUUCUGUAACUUGCUUGUCUUUUUUGGAUCCUGAUGUAGAUCAAUUUUUGAAGAUGAACCAUCUCUGAAAAUUAAACCAACUUCAAGAAUAGUAGCAAUGAUUUAUGUUGUCUUUAGAAGAUGAUGGUAGUCAUCUGGUUAUAGAAGUGGCUAAUAGAAGAGCCACUAGACUGUACCUAUAGAAAAAUUUUUCUACCAAAAUUUUGAUAGAAGGGUUAGUAAGAAAAUAUUUUCUCUUUUUUUUUAGAAAAAUAAUCUAGUUCUUGUUUCUGGAUGAUAGGUGGCGAAGUCGUCGUCGAUCAUGUAUACUUCUUCUAUUUCUUCUUUUAUACUUUGAUUUCUGGGUGAAGUUUCACUUUAAGCUCAUUCUAAUGUAAAUCCUUGGAUUAUUGGGUCUUCAUCGAAUAAAAUCCAUCUUUUGAUAUAUAUUUUUCUACUUAGAAAUAUUGAAAACUAAUCAGCUUUUAUAUUGAACUUCUACUUUAAUAUCCAAGGAUGACCUGUCUCGAUGCAAAAUCUCAUCAGAUUGAUAUCAUCGAUGCUGUGAUAUCUUUUGAGAACUUUAGAUUUCAUAUCUUCAGAAAGUAUGUCUAGGAUGAUUCCAAAUUUGAGCCACCAAUGAUAGUAGAACCAGAUAGGCAGCAUUUUUUUAUAUUUAAAUUUUAUGAACCAUGAAUGCCUGUAUUCUGGGUUUGGAUAUAAAGAAGAUUGAUCCAAGCAUUUUGACAAUCCCAAUAGCUGAAUUCUUUGUCUCUAUAGCUUCUUAAUUUCAAGAUCUUAAUAGAAUUGGGGUUCUGCUUUGGAUCCCAAUCUUUUAAAGAGAAAACUUUUAGUAUGAGAAGUUUAGAGAAAGCAAUCUCACCAUUCUAUGGAUAGUUGUGAUGAAUAUGUACACUCUUAGUUUGAGUCAGAAUUUCUUCAUGAUAAACUCGAUCCUUCUCUCCUGUUUUGGGAAUAUGAAAGUUUUCUUUUGGAAGGAUUUUUAUUAGAUCUAGGAUAUUGGAGUUUAGAACAUGUGCUUCCAAAUAAAAAAGAUUUUCUUCUAAUUUGAAUAUAUAGGGAUUAGGAUAGUAUGGUUCUCUGGUAGAGGUAGUAGGAGUAUUGGAUAUUUUAUAGUCCCAAGAUUGCCUUACCUGAUUCUUCUCUUUAGAGUUUUGACCUUUUGGAGAUUGGAUGCCAAAAUAUGUUUCUCUGUAAAAAUAUAUCAAAAUCAAUUCAUAAUAUUCAGCAACAAUCAGGCGAAUAUUCUCUUAUAGAUAUAGGUAAUUAAUUAGAAACUUUAUAACUUUUUCAAAAUCUUUCUUUUGAUUAAAUAUAUGAGUUUGCCAUAUUUCAUUAAAUAUUAGAUAUUUUUCUAAAGAAAGUUAUGAAAUAAGGCAAGAUGGAUAAUUUUGCUCUUUACCCUAGUUUUUGUUAAAUUUUAUAUUUUUGUCAAAGAAAUAUGGGUACGAGAGUUUUAGUUGAAUUGAGGAUUCAUAAUCUAGACCUUUUCCUUGCCAGUCUCUUUUUGUUACACUAUUAUAGUACUUUGGUUUUAAGAUUUUAUUAUCAUUCUAGAAAGAUUUUUCAAUUUUAAACAUAAUAAUUAAGUAAGAACGAUGAGUUUUGAUAAGUGCCAUAUAGAAAUCAGCAGCUAAACUAAAAUAUUCUUAGAAGAGUUUUAAUUGUUUCUUGUUUAAAAGUUUAUCAGCUAAUUCUAGGACUAGAUCUAAUGGGAGUACAAUAUUAUAAUCUAGUUGGAUUUUAAUUUGAAAGGGUUCUAUUUCUUUUUUUGGUAAUAAGAGUCCAUUUCUUAUUAUAGUCAUAAAGAAUAUUUGUAGGUACUUUCAUUAUUGCUUAUCAUGGAUAUAUAUAAUUAUAAAAUGAGCAAAAGGAAGAAGAAUUUAUGUCUGAUUGACAUCUAGUGUUAAAUCAAAUUUAAAGUAACUUUUGGCUCCACUAGUUCUCUUCAAUAUAUUUUUUGGAAUUGGGAUGUUAUCUUUUAUCCAUUGUAAUAUUUUGUGUAGAUGUUCGUGAUCUUUUGCUAAUUUUAACCUUUUCUUUAUCUCUUUCUGAUAUUUAGGUUUUGGUUUUGUAUUGUUCCUAUAGGAUAAUUCUUGUACAUAUUUUGGAGGAUUUUCAGAAUUAGGAUAGGAUUUAAGCAAUAUUCCUUUACUAUCAUUUUGUAUAAUUAUUUCUUUCUUAGUAACAAUAAAAGGUUUAAAAUAUUCUAAGAAGGGAUUUCCCAAUAUGACUCUUUGUUUUAGAGUUUUAACUAAUAAGAAUGAUAUUUCAAUACAAAGUUUUCCUAUGCAUACGUGGACUUCAGAGAUCUUAUGGUUUACUCUCAGAUUUUUUUCUUCGGUAGUUUGGAGAUUUUGAUUAAAUUUUUUAAAGUAUCUUGAAUAAAUUAUGUCUUGUCUAAUACAAUUUAUCUCAACUCCAGAAUCUAUCAUAGCUUCAUGUUUAAAGUGAUAUCCAUCUUUUAGUUUAAUGAAACAUCACAAAUCUAUUUUUUAUUCAAUUUCUUAGGAGUCUUUUGAGUUUUCUUUUGAAACUUUUUUUUGGAUCUUUUAUAUAUAUUUUUUAUAUAAUUUAUCUAUUUGAGAUCCAAAUUUAUAGCCAAAAUCUUUUAAUUUAUAGUAAUCAUUUAUUCCUUUUCUUUUGCAUAGCUUUAUAAAUUGAUCUCUGAUCAAUUCAGGUUUACUAAAAAUAAUUGCUCUAUUUGCAUUACUAAUAGUACCUAUAUUGACUUUUAAACCUAAAAGAGAUAUUUUUAAAGAGAAUUUUUUCAAACAUAAUAUAGCAAAAUAUCUAAACUUAAUUAAAUUAUUAUUCCUAAGACUACUUAAUUUAUUAUUAAUACUUACAUGUAGAUUAUCUAUAAUGUUCAAAGGAUAAUCUAAAGGAUUGUUGUCUUUAGACUUCUUUUGAACAACAUCUAAGUUAGUAGAAAAGGUUUUCCAUCAAUCUUUCAAUUACUUUAACAAGUAAUUUAUCAUUGUCUCGGCAACUAAAAUUUGUGAACAAAUAUGGAUCUUAUAGGCUUUCAAGUAUAUUAUUAUUAUUGACAAUAACUAUGAAUGAUAUGGUAAUCUGUAAGUCCAUCAGAGUUUUAAUCAAGAGUUCUUCUCUUGAAAUAGAUAGUGGAUAAGUUGUUAGAUAUCUCUAUCAACUGUGAAUCCACAAAGGUCAAUCUAGGAUAAUAAUUUAUUUUAAGGAUCAGAACUACUAGUUUAUAGUUAGAAAUUGAUUUAUCUUUGGUACUUUUCGAAAUAAACAGUUCGCUAACUAUAUUUUCUCUAUUAACUAUUUUUUUGUCCUCAAGGUUUACUAAGAGAUUAUUAAAUUUUACAAAAGUACUAAUUUCUAAGGAACUACCCAUUCCUAUAUCCUUAGAAAAAUAUGAAGUUUCAUGGAUUUCUUUAGAUAUAGGGAUAGAUCUACUAGAUGAGAGUGACUGAUUUAAGGUAGGCUAAUUCAAAGAUUUUAAAUUAGGUAAUGAGUUUGGUUUGGUCUUUAAAUUAAAUAGAUCACAUGUAGAAGCACACAAAUCAAUUAUAAAAAUAUUUUCUUCAAGUGUUUCGUCAGAAGGAGUUUUAUCAGCUUGAUUCAAUAUGAUUUCAUUUAAUUCUUGUACUUCUAAAAGGUCAGGUGUUGGAGGUUCCUUAGUCAGAUCUAAAUACUCUUUCUUAGUGAUCUCCUCAAUAAUUUCAUUUUCAAUUGGUACCUUUAAUUGACUAAUGCUUAGACUUAACUCGGCAGAUAAAUAUAUAGGGUUCAGAUUAACUUCUGUGUCAGGAUCAUAAACGGUCUCAAUGAUUUCAUCAGAAGGGUUCUUUUUGAUCAAAGUUUUAUCAGUUUCUUCAGAUGAAUCAUUUUCAGUUUCAACUUCUAAGAGACUAGAUAUAGUAUCGAUUUUUAUGAAAAAGUCACCAAUCUUUAUUAAUGAAUGAUCAAAAUAACCCCAAUCAAGUUUAGAUUUUCUUUUUUCUUCUCGAAGGAUAUCAGUUUGUGUCUCUUUAUCUUGAUCUAAAUGCUCAAAGAUUUUAUCAGAACGAGUUUCUUUAUGAUCCUUAGUUAUUACCUUCUACAGACUAAUGUUUAUUUUCUUUGGAGCAGUCACUGACUUACUAGAUUUUGGGAUAACUUUUAGAUCUUCAGUAAAGUUCUUAGCAGGCUUUUGGCAUCUUAUUGACUGAUUAUGUACCUUUUCUUUUCUAGAUAGAGAUAUUACCUAGUUUUUAGAAAGAAUCUUAAUUCCAAACUCUUGAUAUUUAAUAUUUAUAUUUUUCAGACCUUUAGGAUAAUAUUUUAUAAACCAAUCAAAGAAAGAAAUAUUUCUUUCUUUAGUCCUCAUUUGAGCAGACCAUACUUCUCUUAUAAAAUUUUAUUUUCUUUUAUUAUAGAUUCUAUAAAAUUAUUUUUUUAUUUUUAAUAGAAUUAAAGUCUGCACUAAAAAGUUUCCUAUCUAUCUAAAAAUCAGCUAUUCUUAAGUAUUUAUCAUCCAAAUAUGUAUCAAAUAUAUCUUUAACUACUAAUCUAGCUAUUCAUUUUAUAUCUAUUUUUAUAUUACCUAGAGAAUCGAAUGAAGUUUUUAUUUUAAGUUCUAUACUAUAAUCAUCUAACCUAUCUUCUAGCUCCCCAAUGGUUACAGUUUUUCUAUUCAUUUUACUUUUUAGAGAUAUUUUUGAGUUAAAAGAGAUUUUUUCAACAUGGAUAAUCAUUAGAUUAGAAUUAAUUAAAUUUCUCAUCCAUUUCAAAUUUCAGAGGUUCAGCAAGAGAUCUAAAAAGAUACCAGCCAUAGAGACGACACCAACAGUCAAUUAUGACUUAUCACCUUAAACAUCUUUCCUCACGACUAACACAAAAUUUACCACGUUACCUGUCUGAUCCACUCUAUAUGGCCAAAAAUCGAUAGAUCCCCUCCCCAGCAUGAAAGAUGGCUCUGAUACCAGAUUGACCCAAGCUAACAUGCAUAUGCAUGGAAGCAGUGUGUGCAUGAGUAGGUCAAAGCCACAGAUGUAAGAUAUUUUGCAAGUCCUAAUGGACUCUGAUGCAGAUCAAGAACCUCAAUAACCAUGAGGCGAAAGUAUCACAGUGCUCAGCAGUAUAUCAUCACAGUAGUGUGAUACAGAAGUAAAAGCUACAUGCAUACAUGUAAAAGUAGCAAAUGGAUAGGCUACAUGCGUAUACAUAGAAGCAGUAAAUGGAUAGGCUACAUGCGUACACGUAGAAGCAAUAGAUGGAUAGACGAACUAUAAGGUAUAUGAUACUGUCCGCAUGCACCGUAUAUCUAAUAGCUCGAAACCCAGAAGUAAAAGCAAAAUGAUUAUAAUUGAGGAGUAAAUAAAGUCAAACCUAAAGAUAAUGCCUAAACAGACACAAAGGUAGAAGACUAGCUGAUAGACAUACGAAAUGGAGAUGAAGGACAGACUCAAACAUGAUGAACAAAUUGAAGAAAGUCUAAAGACAGAUUAAAGAAAGUCUAAAGACAAACUAAGUACAUAAGGUAAAAUGUAAACUAAGACACAGGCUACUAGAAGGCUAAGGCAAACUAAGCUAAUAUAAGAAAUUAUUAACUGAAACAUAAACUAAUAGAAAGCUAAUAAGAGAGCACAAACUAAAGUAUAAGCUAAUAACUGAAUGUAAACUAGAGACUAUAGGUUCAUGAAUUAAAUUUUUUAACAACUAAGACAAUCCAGAUUGCAAGUAAACAAACUAAUAUAAGAGCAAGAAGAACAAAUACAAGUGCAAGAAGCAUAAAUAUAAUAAAUAAACUAUAGAGUAAAUUAUACUAUUAGGUAAGCUACUAAGCUAUAACUAUGGCUAAUUAACUUAUGUACUUAAAAGAAAAAACUAAAACUAACUGCAGUAAAUAAGACUAACAGAACUAACUAUUGCAGUAAAUAAAACUAAACUAAGCAAGAGCAAAACAAACCAAAAUGGAAAAGAAAGUAAUAAAAUUUAACUAAAGACAAGUAAACAAAAUAGAAGCAAAGCAGAAGGAGAAAGAUAACUAAAACUACUAGAACAAAAUAAAAUAUAGUACUUAAACAAAGUAGUAAAAUAGAACAAAGCCUAAUAUAAGUACAGUAAGCAGUACUGAAAUAAAAUGCUUAAUAUAAAGUAAAAGAAAUAAACAAAAAGCUUAAAAUAAAAUAGCGUACUUUAACUAAGUUUUGAUUCUGGAUAGACAUCAUAAUAGAAUUCUACUCCUAGUAUUUAAAGAUCAGUUUCAGAAUCUAUCUAGAGUUUUGUUUAAGAUUUUAUAAAAUCAAUUAUAUUUUACUUGUUUUUUUAUUGGUCUUAUAAGAUCUUUCUUGCCAUUUCUUUAAGUUUUGCCUAUAAAUAGGAGAUUUGAUUAUUGCAAAACUUACUUACCAAUUCAACUUUACCAUAUAUAAGAAAUAGUUGUUUUCAAUUAGGGACCCGCAUAUAUAUGGCUUAGGUAGAGACUCUAUCUUGUUUAAGAAAGCCUUAAGCUCUUAAGGUUAUAGAUAAAAUCUCUCAAUCUAAUUCUAUUAAUCUUCUAAAGUUUUUAGAGAAUCAAUUAAAUCAGCCAUUAUUGAAUUUCUUCCUAAAUCAAUCGCUAUCAUUAAGAGUUAGAUAUUUUUCUAUAUAUUCUAUAAUAUUAUUUGUUAGCAAUCUAGUGGUACUUAUUUAUUAGGUUUAAUAUAGUCUCGAAAGAUUUUUUGCCUUCCUCUUUUCAGGAAUCUAUUAAGCUCUCUUAUCAAACUUUCUUUUGAAUUUUAUAUACUUUCUUAUAUGUAAUUUAUCUGUUUAAAAUUCAAAUUAAUAACAGAAGUCUGUUGAAAUAUAGAGAUCAUUUAUCUUUUCUUUACUAAAUUGAUCUCCGAUCCUUAGCUUGUUAUUUAAUUCGGAUUCAUCAAAAAGAAUUACUCUAUCUAAUUUACUAAUAUUACCUAUGUAAUCUAAUCUAAUUUUAUCUUUUUCUGAAAGUAAAGAAGCUAUUCUUAAAUUAGCUUUUACACCUAGAAGUGGUACUAAUAUAGAGUAAUAUUCUAACACUAGAAGAGACAAUUCUAAGAAAAAACUUAAUAUAGUAGAGUAAGUAUCUCUGUACCAUCUACACUCAACUAAACUACUACUCCUAAGACUACUUAAUUGAUUAUUAAUAUCUACAUAAAGUUUAGUGUUCAAAGGAUAAUCUAAAAGGUUGUUGCCUUUAGAGUUCUUUUGAGUGGUAUUUACAAUUUCUGAGUUAGUGGAAAGGAUUUUCCACCAACUUUUCAAUUGCCAUAACAAGUAAUUUACCAUUGUCUUAGCAAUUGAAAUUUGUGAAUAAUCAUGGAUUUUACAGUCUAUCAAAUGUAUCUUUGUCAGUUGAUGAUAAUUGUUAACCAUUUGAUAUUCAGUAAGUCCAUCCGGGUUCCAACCAAGAGUUCUUCUCUUAGAAUGGAUAGUGGAUAAGUCGUCAGAGAUUUCUAUCAACUGUGAAUCUACUAAGGUUGAUCUAGAAUAAUAAUUUAUUAUCCUAGGGAUCUGAACUACAAGUUUAUAGUUAGAAAUUGGUUUAUCUUCAGUGCUUUUCGGGAUAAACAAUCUCCUAACUAUAUUUUCUUUACUAACUAUUCUCUUAUCCUCAAAAUUUUUUAAGACUAAGAGAUUACUAGUUCUUAAAGAAUUACUAGUUUCUAAAAAAAUAAUUGUUUCUAAAAAAUUAUUAAUUUCUUUAUCCUUAGAAAAAUAUGAGGUUUCAUAAAUUUUUUCAGACAAAGAGAUUGAACUAAACCUACUAGAUGAGGGAGAUAGGUUUAAGAUGGGUUGGUCUAAAAGUUUAUAUUCAGAUAAAGAGUCUAGCCUGAUUUUUAAAUCAAAUGUAGAAGCACAGAGAUCAAAUAUAGAAGUAGUUUCUUCAAGAGUUUCAUAAGAAAAAAAUUUAUCAAAUUGCUUCAGUAUAAUUUUAUCUAAUUCUUCUAAGAACUCCUUUUCUAAAUAUGCUUCAGAAAGAUCUGAUGUUAGAGGUACCUCAGUUAGAUCUAGAUGAUCUUCCUUAGUAAUUUCCUCAAUGAUUUUAGUGUGUUCUUUGAUUGGUACCUUCAAUUGACUGAUGCUUGGACUUGACUCAAAGGAUUCUAGUGGAGAUAUAGAGUUCGAAUCAACCUCAGUAUUAGUAUCGAGACUAUGAAUAGUUUCUAUGAUCUCAUCAGAAGAGUUUUCUUUAAUCAGAACUUUAUCAGAUUCUUCAGAUGAAUCAUUUUUAGUUUUAUCUUCUAAGAGAUUAGGUAUAGUAUCGAUCUUUAUGAAAAAAUCAUCAAUCCUUAAUAAUGAAUUAUCAGAAUUAUCCCGAUCAACUUUAGAUUCUCUUAAAAGACUAUCAGUCUGAGUUUUUUCAGAGUUGAAAGAAUAAUCCAUAUAGUUUUAUUUUUUCUCAACCUGAUCUAGAUGUCCAAAGAUUUUAUCAGAAUGAGUUUCUACUUUGGAGAUUUGAUCAAGAUCAUUUGUAGAAACCUUAAUUGGACUCAUAUUCUUCUUAUUUUAAACCGAGAAGGUUCAGCUUUAAAGCUUCUAUGAUAUUUUCAUGAUUCAGCCAUCUUAUUAAAUACAGUUUUUUAUAUUCUAGGACUAGCUUCCUCAAGGCCAUUGAUAUAAUACUUAUCAAACCAGUCAUAAAAGAAAAUAUGUCUCUCUUCAGUCCUCAUCUGACUAAACCAUAUUUCUCUUAUAAAAUCUCUUUCCCUCUUAUUGUAAGUAUCAAAGAAUCACUCUUUUCUAUCUUUGUUUUUAUCAAAAUCAAAAUCUUCUCUUAGUAGUUCUUUGUUUAUUAGGAAUUCAACUAUUUCUAUAAUUUUAGAGUCAAUAUAAGAGCCAUAUAGAGUAUCUAAAACUAAUCUAGUUAAAUUUUUUAUUUUAAUUUUUAGUUUUUCAUCUAAAUAUGUUAUAUCUAUUGGAGGUUCUAUACUAUAAUCUUUUAUACUAUUUUUUAUUUCUCUCAUAGUUAUCAAAUGUUUUUUUGAAGACCUAGCUUGAAAAUAGGUAGGUUUCUGAAGCCUACUAUCUUUUAGGUUAGAAGGUGAGGUUUUUCUUGUCUUAGAAGGUGAGAUUUUUCUUGGCUUGAAGAGUUUCUUUAUCCCAAGAUCUUUAAGUCUAAGUUCUAUUCCUUCAAGAUUCUAGAGAUAAUAAUCAAAGGAUUGAUCUUCAUUUUCUUUAUCAGAUUCUUUAAAUAUUUCUGGAGAGAAUAUUUCUUUAUUAAUUUUUUUUGGAUAGAAUUCAUCUUCUUCUAUUUCUUUGAAGUAGAUGGAUUCUAUAUCAUCUUGUAUAUCUUGAUCCCAGUCCUUAGCAUCAAAGGCUUCAAGAUCUGCAUCCAUUUUUAAUAUAGUGAGAGAAUCAACUAUCUAUUAUCUAAAUGUAUGCUAAAUAUAUCUAAUUUAACUAGUCUACCUAAAUCUAUAUUAACUAAAGAAUUAAACUAAAUUUUAUCUAUAAAAUAUACAUCUAUACUACUAAUUAAUUUUUAUAGAUAUCUAAACUAUUAAUUAACUCCUCAAUAGUUACUAAAAUUUUAGUCAUUUUGCUUAUUAGAAAUAUUUUAUAACAGAGUUAUUUUCAGAAUCAGUUAAAAUUUUUCACCCAUUUCAGAUUUUAGAGAUUCGAAAAGAGAUCUAAGGAUACCAUAGAGACGAUACCAAUAGUUAAUUUGUAUCUUACCACCCUAAAUGCCUUUCCUAACAGCUAACAUGGGAUUUAUUGUGUUUUUUGUUCGAUCUGCUCUAUACGAUUAAAAAUCAACAAAUCUCCUCCUCGACACAAAAGAUGGCUCUGAUACUAGAUUGACUCAGGCCAAUGCACGUACGCGUAGAAGCAGCAGUGUUGUGUGUGUGUGAGUGGAUCGAAGCCAUAGAGGUAUGAUAAUUUGCAAGUCCUAAUGGACUCUCCUAAUGUAAAUUAGGAAUCUCUUUAACCAUGAGGUGAAAGUAUCAUAGUGCCCAGCAAUAAAUUAUCAUAGCAGUCUGACACAGUGGUAAAGACUAGUGCAUACACAUAGAAGCAGCAAAUGGGUAGGCUGCAUGCAUAGACGUAAAAGUAGUAAAUGGAUAGAUGAACUAUAAGGUAUACAAUACUACCUGCAUGCAUCGUAUAACUAACAGUCUGAAACCCAGGAGUAGAAGCAAAAUGAUUAUGAUUGAGGAGUAAAUGAAGUCAAACCUAAAGAUAAUGCCUAAAUAGAUACAAAGGUAGAAGACUAAUAGAUAGACAUACAAAAUGGAGAUGAAGGACAGACUCAAACAUGAUGAACAGACUGAAGAAAGUCUAAAGGCAGACAAAAAAAAGUCUAAAGACAAACUAAGUACAUAUGAUAAAACCUAAACUAAGAUAGGCUACUGAAGGCUAAGGCAAACUAAAGCGCAAACUAAGCUAAUAUAAGAAAUUAUUAACUGAAACAUAAACUAACGGAAAGCUAAUAAGAGAGCACAGACUAAGGUAUAAGCUAAUAACUGAAUGUAAACUAGAGACUAUAGGUUAAUGAGUUAAAUUUUCUAAUAACUAAAACUAUCCAGAUUGCAAGUAAACAAACUAACAUAAGAGCAAGAAGAACAAAUAUAAGUGCAAAAAGCAUAAAUGCAAUAAAUAAACUAUAGAGUAAAUUAUACUAUUGAGUAAGCUACUAAGCUAUAACUAUAGCUAAUUAACUUACAUACUUAAAAGGAUAAACUAAAACUAACUAUAGUAAAUAAGACUAAUAGAACUAACUAUUGCAGUAAAUAAAACUAAACUAAGUAAGAGCAAAACAAAUCAAAAUGAAAAGAGUAUAAAUAGAAAGAAAUAAAAUUUAACUAAGAAUAGUGCAGUAAACAGAACAAAGUGGAAUAGACAGAACUAAGUUUAACUAAGAGCAGAUAAACUUAAACAAAAUAAAACUACUUAAUAUAAAGUAAGAGAUUAACAAAAUGAAAUAAAGUACAGUAUUUAAACAAUGAAACAAAGAAAUAAACAAAAGUUUAAAGUAAAAUAGAGUACUUUAACUAAUUUAAUAACAUAUAAUCGCUCUAUUAUUUACUUCACGAUUGCACAACAGAUUGCACUAUAUUUUUAGUACAACCUUAUAACAUAUUACAGGUGGUAUUUGGAUUGUUUAUCCUUAUUGAUUCGUUGUUUACUUCACAAUCUCUACCAACUUUAGGGUUUACCCUUAAGAGAUUGAUCCGUUGUUACUUCACAGACUCGGUAGCAUUUCGGUUGUUUACCGUCGUGCUACAAUAAUAUGCUAUAGUGUACAACAGUACUUCACAGUAUUUCUGCUACAGUAUUGCACAGUGCAUAUGCUACAAUAAUUAGCUACAGUAAUAAACAAUAAUAUAAACAAACUUAAGCAUAAAGGAAGCUUAAAAUAUAAAUAGUAAAAUGAAUAAAAAAUACACUUUAUUUAUAAAGCACACUUACAUGAAGUUUGAUAAAAUUGAAAUACACACCUUACAAACUUUAUGUAUACUAAUCAAGUUUAAACAAACUUAAAUACAAACCACGAGCGCUAAUAUAUGCUAAUACAUGAGUAAACACACCAAUAAGCAUACUUAUGUAUAAAACUCACAUGGAUUAAUGGAGCUAAGUGACAAAGCUUUAUGAGAAUGGAACUGUGGAAGAAAGAGGAAUGGAAUAUUUUAAUAUAGAAAUGGAAAGAGGAAGGAAGCCUUAUUUUAGUGGAAACAAACAAACGUGGAUAUAUAAACAAGGAGAUAAUGGAGAUGCUUCUCUAAUGAUAUGAAGUGGAGGAGGAAAUAAAGAAGAGUGGAAACUUUGUUUUGGUGGAAGGGAACAAAUGAAGUGGAGAAAUAAUGGAGAAGAGAUACUUUGUUUAUGUGGAAGAGAACAAAGCCCUCGUGAAGAUAUCUGCUAUGAGGAAGGCAGACUGCAGAGGAUUGGGAAAAGAAGAGAGAUUUUUGUGGAAGAAGAUGAAAGCAUUAGGAGAAGGAGACUAGGGAAGAGAAGAGAAGAGAAGGAAAGAAGGAGAUCAUGAAGAGAAACUCUGCCACUUAAGAUUCGAAAUCUCUCUCAGCCUGCCUCUCCAUGCUCGACCUCCCCUUGGACGAAGGCCUUCCCCUUUAUUUAUAGGCGAGGGAAGGAGCUAUGCGGACUCCAAUUAGUUUGGAGUCUGACGGACUUUAAUCAGUUUGGAGUCUGACGGACUUCAUUUGGUUUGAAAUCUGGAAGCUUGUAGAAGUCAGAAUUGAAGUCGGGACUUAAUUGAUUUUAUGUCUGAUUUUCUGUAGCAUCUUGUCAUCUUUGUACAGUAUCAAAAAUCUUUUUGUAGAUGAACAGUAGUAAUGUCAGGAAUCUUUCUGUAGCUUGCUUAUCAUCUUUAGAUCUUGGUGGAGAUUGACUUUUGAAGAUAAAUCAUUUUUGAGAAUUAAACCAGCUUCAAGAAUAGUAGUAGUAGUUCAUGUUAUCUUCAGAAGAUGGUGGUAGUCAUCUGGUUGUAGAAAUGGCUAAUAAAAAAACCACAAAGUGUACCUGUAAAAAAUUUUUCUAUCAAAAAUUUUGGUAGAAGUGUUAGUAGAAAAUAUUUUUUUUCUUCUUUUCUUCUUUCUUUUUCUUUCUCUUUCUUUUUUUUUGAGUAGGUCAGAGCUACAGAUGUAUGAUAUUUUGCAAGUCCUAACGGACUCUUUUGAUGCAGAUCAGGAACCUCGAUAAUCACAAGGCAGAAGUAUCACAGUGCCCAACAAUAUAUCGUCACAGUAGUGUGAUACAAAAGUAAAAGCUAUAUAUGUAUACGUAAAAGCAACAAAUGGGUAAGCUAUAUGCGUACAUGUAGAAGCAGUAAAUGGGUAAGCUACGUAUGUACACAUAGAAGCAAUAGAUGGAUAGACGAACUAUAAGGUAUACGAUACUGCCGGCAUGUACCGUAUAACUAACAACCUGAAACUCAAGAGUAUAGAAGCAAAAUGAAUUAUCAUUGAGGAGUAAAGGAGGUCAAGCCUACAAAUAAUACCAAAUUAAAUAGAUAGUAUCUAAACAGAUACAAGAAACAAGGUAAAGAACUGACAGAACUCAGGCAUACAAAGUCGGGAUGAAGGAAAGACUGCAAAUAGUUAGAUACAAAAUGAACAGGCUAACCAAAUAUAAAUCUAAACUAAAGCAUAGGCUAAUGGAAAGCUAAGGUGAACUAAAGCAUAAGCUAAACUGAUAUAAGAAAAUACAAACUGAAACAUAAACUAAUAGAAAGCUAAGACAAGCAUAAGCAUAAGCAUAAGCAUAAGCUAAGAUAUGAGCUAAUAACUAAAUGUAAACUGAAGAACAUAAAUUAAUAAACUAUAAAUCUUAAUCGAUUAAGAUAAACUAAACUUCUAAUAGCUAAAACUAUCCAGAUUAUAAGUAAACAAGCUAAUAUAAGAGUAAAGAACAUAAAUACUAUAAAUAAACUACAGAGUAAACUACUAAGCUAUUAAUAAACUAUAAACUAUACACACUAUACUACUGAGUUAUAACUAUGAUUGAUUAACAAACAGAACUUAGAAAGGUAAAUAAAUAGAACUUAAAAAGGUAAACUAAUUGCAGUAAAUAAAACUAACAAAAUGAACAAACAAACUACUACAGUAAAUAAAGCUAGAAUAAGUAAAAGUAGAACAAACCAAAAUGAAAAGACUACCAACAGAAAGAAAUAAAAUUUAACAAAGAAAAGUGCAGCAAAUAGAAUAAAGCAGAAUAGAUAGAAUUAAGUUUAACUAAGAGCAGAUAAACUUAAAUAAAAUAAAACUACUUAAUAUAAAGUAAAAGAUUAACAGAACGAAACAAAGUAUAGUAUUUAAACAAUGGAACAAAGAAAUAAAUAAGAGCUUACAGUAAAAUAUAGUACUUUAACUAAUUUAAUAGCAUAUAAUCGCUUCAUUGUUUACUUCACGAUUGCACUAUAUUUUUAGUACGACCUUAUAACAUGUUACAGAUAGUAUUUGGAUUGUUUACUCUGACUGAUCCAUUGUUUACUUCACAAUCUCUACCAAUCUUAGAGUUGGUUACCCUUAAGAGACGAUCCGUUAUUUACUUCAUAGUCUUGGUAGCAUUCCGAUUGUUUACCAUCAUGCUACAGCAACAUGCUACAGUGUACAAUAGUACUGUACAGUGUUUCUGCUACAAUACUGCACAGUGCAUAUGCUAUAGUAAUUAGCUACAGUAAUAAACAGUAAUAUAAACAAACUUAAGCGUAAAGGAAGCUUAAAACAUAACUAGUAAAAUGAAAGAAAAAUGAACUUUAUUUAUAAAAGCACGUUUACAUGAAGUCUGAUGAAAUUGAAAUACAUACCUUACAAGCUUUAUGUACACUAAUCAAGCUUAAACAAACUUAAAUACAAACCACGAGCAUUAAUAUAUAUUAAUACAUAAGUAAACACACUAAUAAGCAUACUUAUAUACAAAAAUCACAUAGAUUAAUGGAGCUAAGUGACAAAACUUUCUAAGAAUGGAACUGUGGAAGAAAGAGGAAUAAAAUUUUUUAAUAUGAAAAAGAAAGGUUGAUGGAAGGAGUGAUUUGUUUAAUGGAGGAAUAGUGGAGUGUAAGGAGUAUUAUGAUGGGAAUAAUGGAGGUGCUUCUGCAAAUGUGAAGAAGAAACGAAGAAAGAGAUGCUUUGUUUAUGCGAAAGAAAACAAAGCCCUCGUGAAGAUGUCUGCUAUGAUGAAGGUAGACUGUAAAAGAUUAGGAAGAAAAGAGAGGAUUUUGUGGAAGAAGAUGAAAGGAUUAGGAGAAGGAGACAAGGGAAGAGAAGAGAAGAGAAGGGAAG
rnacentral:lncRNA from 1 species